AGCCUUCUGAAUCCUUGCCGAGAUUUCGUCAGACACCAGCCCCUCAGUGCUGAUGAGACUACCAAAGUAAGUGAAACG
rnacentral:pre_miRNA from 1 species